CAGCCGCCGCGGUAAUACGUAGGGUGCGAGCGUUAAUCGGAUUUACUGGGCGUAAAGCGUGCGCAGGCGGCCCGUUAAGACAGGUGUGAAAUCCCUGGGCUCAACCUAGGAAUUGCGCUUGUGACUGGCGGGCUCGAGUACGGUAGAGGGGGGUGGAAUUCCUGGUGUAGCAGUGAAAUGCGUAGAGAUCAGGAGGAACACCGAUGGCGAAGGCAGCCCCCUGGGCCUGUACUGACGCUCAUGCACGAAAGCGUGGGGAGCAAACAGGAUUAGAUACCCGGGUAGUCCACGCCCUAAACGAUGGGUACGAGCCGUUUGGUGCGCGAUAGCGCUGAGUGGCGAAGCUAACGCGUGAAGUACCCCGCCUGGGGAGUACGGCCGCAAGGUUGAAACUUAAAGGAAUUGGCGGG
rnacentral:rRNA from 1 species